rnacentral:rRNA from 1 species
CCUACGGGGGGCUGCAGUGAGGAAUAUUGGUCAAUGGACGAGAGUCUGAACCAGCCAAGUAGCGUGAAGGAUGACUGCCCAAAGGGUUGUAAACUUCUUUUAUAAAGGAAUAAAACGAGGCACGUGUGCCUUUUUGAAUGUACUUUAUGAAUAAGGAUCGGCUAACUCCGAGCCAGCAGCCGCGGUAAUAAGGAGGAUCCGAGCGUUAUCCGGAUUUAUUGGGUUUAAAGGGUGCGUAGGCUGAAUGCCAAGUCAGCGGUAAAAAUUCGGGGCUCAACCCCGUCGUGCCGUUGAAACUGAUGUUCUUGAUUGGGCGAGAAGUAUGCGGAAUGCGCGGUGUAGCGGUGAACUGCAUAGAUAUCACGCAGAACUCCGAUUGCGAAGGCAGCAUACCGGCGCCCAACUGACGCUGAAGCACGAAAGCGUGGGUAUCGAACAGGAUUAGAUACCCGUGUAGUC